rnacentral:rRNA from 1 species
UACGUAGGGAGCAAGCGUUAUCCGGAUUUACUGGGUGUAAAGGGCGCGUAGGCGGGAUGGCAAGUCAGAUGUGAAAUCUAGGGGCUCAACCCCUGAACUGCAUUUGAAACUGUCGUUCUUGAGUACUGGAGAGGUUGACGGAAUUCCUAGUGUAGCGGUGAAAUGCGUAGAUAUUAGGAGGAACACCAGUGGCGAAGGCGGUCAACUGGACAGCAACUGACGCUGAGGCGCGAAAGCGUGGGGAGCAAACAGG